GACGAACGCUGGCGGCGUGCUUAACACAUGCAAGUCGAACGGAAAGGCCCUGCUUUUGUGGGGUGCUCGAAUGGCGAACGGGUGGGUAACACGUGAGUAACCUGCCCUUGACUUUGGGGUAACUUCAGGAAACUGGGGCUAAUACCGGAUAGGAGCUCCUGCUGAAUAGUGGGGGGUGGAAAGUUUCGGCUGGUCGUGAUGGACUCGCGGCUUAUCAGCUUGCUGGUGGGGUAGUGGCUUUCAAAGGCUUUGACGGGUAGCCGGCCUGAGAGGGUGACCAGGCACAUUGGGACUGAGAUACGGCCCAGACUCCUACGGGAGGCAGUAGGGGGGAAUAUUGCACAAUGGGCGGAAGACUGAUACAGCAACGCUGCGUGCGGGAUGACGGCCUUCGGGUUGUAAACCGCUUUCGCCUGUGACGAAGCGUGAGUGACGGUAAUGGGUAAAGAAGCACCGGCUAACUACGUG
rnacentral:rRNA from 1 species